AUGUAUAUAUAUGUGUGUAUAUAUGUGCAUUGGGGUACCAUGUGUAUACAUGCACACACACACACACACACACACACAUACACAUACAUAUAU
rnacentral:miRNA from 1 species